CUGAGAAGAGGCCUGUGAUAGAGACCCUCCUGCCAUGGAGAACAGCGCUCCCCAAGAUCAGCCCGGGUGGCAUACAGGGAAUACAAGGAGUAUGAAACUCUACUACCAUUAUCCAGAACUUCCUCUUCCAGUAGCAGUGGACUAGGAGUUCAGAGGUGUGAGGAACACUGGCCC